CCCGUGCUCAUUCGCUCCCCUUCCCGGCCACUUAUCCUAGAGGGCCUCAGCCUCCUAGAGGGCCCCAGCCUCCUCCCACGCCGUUUAUCCCCCGAUGAGGCCGCCACCUCAAUCCCCUGCCCAACUCGGUUCGUCACGAGCAGUGAAGGAAAGAUGACCCCGCCGCCUUGGGUUAGAUAAGCCACUGCGAGCUCGUCCGGGAUCUGAGCGCACCCCUCGCAUCCACCGUUCAUCAUCCACUUGGCCGCAACCAUCCACAAGAAGAGGGGAUGUCACGACAGUCGGGUCAUGGAUCAUCCACUUUGACCUUGCACGUUCGCAACACACUUUCUCUAUACCGAUAUCGUAGUUGCAGUAUGCGGCUACGGUUGGAGGGUCGUCACCGGCGUGGCACCGAUGCGUCCCUUCCCUCUGCCUGGAGCUGCAAGUGGAAGAAGGCCAAUCACCAUGGAAGGCAAGGAAGAAAAAGGAGGUUAUGAUACCAACAACCAUCAACCAUUAGGAGGAGGAAUAUAAAACAAGUUCAGAAGCCAUGGACCAUGCUCAGCCUGAUUUUAGGCACCCUCAAAUAUAGGUAAUACAUCAGUUUGAUGGCACAAACAGCUUACUCCCUGAAUAAAAAAGGUUCUUUGCUUGAAUAUGUAUGUCUCUGACACAUGGUUGAAAAAGGAUAAAACUAGAAAAGCAAAAGAGGACCCUAAGCUUUUUAGUAUCAUCUUGUUCUGAGGCCACAAUCCUGUAGCAUACUAGCAUGUGUUCCGCUAAGUUUUUCCCAAUUUUAUUAGUUUGUGCCUUGAAUACGAUCAUCGCAGGUUUAUCCAUUUAUCAUUUCGAUACUUUCUUAUUUCUGCAAUAACAACAAAUGGUAGCUAGGUUGCAAUCUGUA